rnacentral:rRNA from 1 species
UAAUACGUAGGGUGCAAGCGUUAAUCGGAAUUACUGGGCGUAAAGCGUGCGCAGGCGGUUAUGCAAGACAGGUGUGAAAUCCCCGAGCUCAACUUGGGAACUGCACUUGUGACUGCAUAGCUAGAGUACGGUAGAGGGGAGUGGAAUUCCGCGUGUAGCAGUGAAAUGCGUAGAUAUGCGGAGGAACACCGAUGGCGAAGGCAGCUCCCUGGACCUGUACUGACGCUCAUGCACGAAAGCGUGGGGAGCAAACAGG